ACAACGGGUGGAGCCUGCGGUUUAAUUGGACUCAACGCCGGGCAGCUCACCGGAUAAGACAGCUGGAUGAUAGCCGGGCUGAAGACUCUGCUUGACUAGCUGAGAGGAGGUGCAUGGCCGUCGUCAGUUCGUACUGUGAAGCAUCCUGUUAAGUCAGGCAACGAGCGAGACCCACGCCAACAGUUGCCAGCAUGUCCUCCGGGAUGAUGGGGACACUGUUGGGACCGCCUCUGCUAAAGAGGAGGAAGGAAUGGGCAACGGUAGGUCAGCAUGCCCCGAAUUAUCCGGGCUACACGCGGGCUACAAUGGUCAGGACAAUGGGUAUCGACACCGAGAGGUGGAGGCAAUCUCCUAAACCUGUCCUUAGUUCGGAUUGUGGGCUGCAACUCGCCCACAUGAAGCUGGAAUCCGUAGUAAUCGCGUUUCAAAAUAGCGCGGUGAAUAUGUCCCUGCUCCUU
rnacentral:rRNA from 1 species